rnacentral:sRNA from 1 species
GCAGUUCAGUUUGUGAGCUUGUUGGUUUGAGAGUCACGCUGCAUAAUUUCUUGCCGUGCUGUUCUAUCAUAAUCCGAUUCAUGGUAUCUAAAAGGAAUAAUGUGCUAUCAGUUAACAUCUCCGCAAGUCUAUAUAAUGCAUGAACCGGUACGUAAAGUAUACAGUACUCAUAAUGAGAAAGUAGAUUCGGGCGCGUACUCAAGACAAUCCGCCCACCGGAUGACCUUGAACAAUAAAAUCCUCACGGACACUGCAACAUACCUACACUCGCCAUUUAGCCCUGCGCCUCCUCCCCUCCAUACGCAUUACUCUUAUGUUUCGGCACAAACGAAAACCCUUCAUCCACCUUGCCCAAAAACAUCUCUGAAAUCUUCACCCAAUCACCGGCAAACGGACUUGCCAAAAGCGUCUCCAGCUCGUUCCUACCCCUGUACGCUGGGGGUCGUUCAUUGAGUUUGCCCGGGAGGCGUUCGAGGAGGCCGAUGGGGAUGUACCGAUGUUGGAAGGAGAGGGCUUCGCAUAGGAAUCGACGGGUGGUAUUAACACCUUGGGUGUCGGAACCCCAAUGGGAGAGACCGAAUUCGGCGAACUGUGAAGGUAGGCGUGGUUAGUUUGUAUAACCCUAUACAAUGCUUCACGAAAUGGGAAACUUUGAAAGAAGAAAAAAACACAGGAACCCACCUUUUUUAUACCUUCCAACCUCUCCACCGCGGAAAUAUCCCACUCUCUCCUCUCCUUGAUCUCCGUAAAGAUCCAUGGUUUGAUCAACGCUCCUCUCGCGACCAUCACUCCAUCCACGCCACUCCUCUCCAUUUCCUCAUAAUAGGAUGCGGCAGAAAAACAAUCACCGUUUCCAAAGAUGGGAACAGGGGGAAGGUUGGCGUCAGCAACGGACUCGCGGAGGGCGGUGACGCAGUUUUUGAUGUAUUCCCAGUCGGCAGGUUUGGAAUAGCGUUGUUGGCGAGAUCGACCGUGAAUCUGGAGGGGGAGAAGGGUUGUAAUGUCAGUGUCGGGUCUCGGAGAGGCGUAUGGGGAGGGGAGGGGAAAGGGGAAAGGAAAAUGACAACGGACUUACAGUCAAAGCGCCCGCUCCCCACUCAGUGACGAAACGAGGAAUCAACUUGUGAGCAUUUGGUUUUCCAUGCGCAACACCAGUUCUCUAUAUGAGAAUGUUACGUCAGUUAUGCAAAUCCAUAAGCAUGGACACGUCAUAUUGUGCAGGAUGAGGUAUUGGGGAGCAAGGGAGAAACGCACGAAUUUGACAGUCAAAGGAACUUAAAUUGAAGAAAAACGGAUAUGUCAGCCUAUUCAUUCAAAUUACCAAAAAAUGGAGAAGAACGGAGGUAACUUACUAUCGCCAAGGGCUCUGUUCAUGCCUACCAACAGCUUACCCAACCGUCCAGGAGAGUCCAUAACCGGGCGCUACCCGCACCUUGGUUGAAGACCAAAUCAAUCGGACAACCCAUAUUAACAUCCACAAAAUCCACCCCACCGCCCUUCCCUAUGGUAUUCGCAAUAACCUCCGCAGCGGGUACCAUCCGGUUCGGGAACCCGCCGGCGACUUGAACACCAAACAUCUUUUCACUCUCGUGUCGACGAACGAGAGCCCAUUCUUCUUUGGCGCCGUAGACGAGGGGUUGGGCAAGAGCCAUUUCGGAGAUGGUGAUGGUCGCGCCAUAGUCAACGCAGAGGCGGCGGAAUGGCUAAAAAGGAAAGAGUGUUAGCUCGGGAGGGGAAGGGGCAGGAAAAAGAGGAGGGGAAAAGGGGGACUUACGAGAUUGCCGACCGUGGUCAGAGGAGCGAGAUAUCGUCCACCUUCCCAAUUCAACCUCCUCUUCUCUUCCGGCCUGAGAGGCACAUCAAUCGCUUCCGUUUCACCAUAGACCCUACCCUUCUCAUUUCUUUCGUUUUCUGUGGCAUUCAUAGCGCUCUCCUCAUCGUCCCCAGCGAAGGGAACGGAGGUAGGUCCAUUUGCAGCUUCUUCUUCGUCAAGAACAAUGUUUUUACGUUUGGGUGGCUGUUGUUUGGUGGGUUUCUUGUUUUGGAGAGUAAAGGGUUUGUCGGGAUCGACUUUUUUGAGAUAUGCUUCGGAAAAGGGGAAUGAUGCCUUUAAUACUUCGUUAGAACAAUCAUUUGUGUUGACAAUCAAUCGUAUGUCGGAGGGAUAUGUGAAGUGGAAUGGGGAGGAUUGGCAAAGUUGAACUUACAGUACUACGGCGAAGAGCGUUGAGGACUUCAUGUUCAGGCCAAUUUGUCUCCUUUUGCUUCCACCCCUUCUUCACUUCACUCUGUUCCCAGUGCUCGACUUGCCAUUCUCCCAUUCGCUUCUCAGGGCCCGCCUCUUUUUCUUUCUCCUCCCCGUCUACAGCGGCAGCCAUAUGCUUAACGUGCGCACCCAAGAACCGACAUCGCCACCCAAAAGGACAGUACCCCAAAUCCUUUAACACCGGGCAAACCGUCUCCAGAUCAAGUGUCUUCCCCACUACAUCCUCCCCGCCCACCAUCCUUUCCCCUGCUACCACAAAUGGCGUCUCAUCGACCAAGGGCCAAUCAGGACGGUAACUGAUAUCAUUCGGCUUCACGUCAAAGUAACCUUCCCAGCUGUGAGCGUAUCGGCAAUCGCCUUUAUCGGCGCGGUCGCAGAUACCAGUCGUUUCCCAAGCACGACAGAUACGGACAGAGGCUUCCCGGAUGACAGGAAAGUGUCGACCCUUGUUUUGACCUUUUUUGUCUUUUUUGUCUUGCUUGUUGGGUUUACGCCGUUUGUUAUCGGGUCUGUCGCGAUCAUCGCGAGAGUCACGUGAAUCGGUACGACCUUCGGCGGCGUCGUCAGGGUGAAUGUUGUUGAGCUCUGAGGCAGAGGCGGAUUCGACGAUAGGGGUGGUGUUGAUUAGAUAUCUAAAGAAUGAAUUUUGCUUAGUUUGAG